GAUGAACGCUGGCGGCGUGCUUAACACAUGCAAGUCGAACGGUGAAGCAGGAGCUUGCUCUUGUGGAUCAGUGGCGAACGGGUGAGUAACACGUGAGCAACCUGCCCCUGACUCUGGGAUAAGCGCUGGAAACGGCGUCUAAUACUGGAUAUGUGAUGUGACCGCAUGGUCUGCAUCUGGAAAGAAUUUCGGUUGGGGAUGGGCUCGCGGCCUAUCAGCUUGUUGGUGAGGUAAUGGCUCACCAAGGCGUCGACGGGUAGCCGGCCUGAGAGGGUGACCGGCCACAGUGGGACUGAGACACGGCCCAGACUCCUACGGGAGGCAGCAGUGGGGAAUAUUGCACAAUGGGCGGAAGGCUGAUGCAGCAACGCCGCGUGGGGGAUGACGGCCGUCGGGUUGUAAACCUCUUUUAGCAGGGAAGAAGCGAAAGUGACGGUACCUGCAGAAAAAGCACCGGCUAACUACGUGCCAGCAGCCGCAGUAA
rnacentral:rRNA from 1 species